UUCCCGAAUUUUGAAGAGCUAUACAUAUUAUUGUAACAAAUAUUUUAAAUAUGUAAUGAAAUGUUAAUAUAUCUGGUUUUUUUAGAAAGUUUAAUUUGUUUAUUUCUGGGGGGAUAAGCUUCUGGUAGGAUUAGAAGUUUUGUUAUAUUUGGUCUAUAAAAAUUCAAGUUUUAUUUUUCUUGGCAAUAAUGAUAAAAUUAGUAUAAGGCUAAAUUAAGGAAUUCGGCAAAAAUUUUUCACCUGUUUAUUAAAAACAUGGCCUUUUGAUUAUAAUUUAAGGUCUGACCUGCCCACUGAGGCCGCGGUAAUUUGACCGUGCAAAGGUAGCAUAAUCACUAGUUUUUUAAUUGAAAGCUGGCAUGAAUGGUUGGAUGAGAAAAUAACUGUCUCGGUUUAGUAGAAUUUUAUUUUUAAGUAAAAAAGCUUAAAUUUUGUUGAAAGACGAGAAGACCCUAUAGAGUUUUACUUUGGUUGGGGCGAUCGAAAAAUUAAUUAAACUUUUGAUUUUAAGACUAAAUUACCUUAGGGAUAACAGCGUAAUUUUUCUUAGAGUUCAUAUUAAUAGAAGAGUUUGCGACCUCGAUGUUGGAUUAAAGAUGAUGUUGGUGCAGCAGCU
rnacentral:rRNA from 1 species